AGAGUUGUGGCUUAGUGGGUAAAGCCACUGCCUGUGGUGCUAGCAUCCCAUAUGGGUGUGGGUUCAAGUCCCAGCUACUCCA
rnacentral:tRNA from 1 species